rnacentral:lncRNA from 1 species
GCCAGGGCACUUGUCCGGAAGGUACUAGAGGAAAGUCUACAGAAGUUAAUUGAAGAACCUAACAAGCGUGUCAAGUCCAUCAGAUGGGAGCUCGGAGCAUGUUGGGUUCAACAUUUACAAAAUCAGGCUUCAGGUAAAACUGAUUCUAAAAAGCCUGAAGAAAACAAGCCCGAACCUGCUGUGAAGGGACUUGAACCUGCCGUGAAGGGACUUGGAAAGCAGGGUGCGCUGCUUAAGGAUCUGAAGAAAAAAAUGGAUGCCAAAAAUAGCAAAACAGAAGAGCAAAUGGAUAUUUCUCUUGGCAACAACACUGAGACUGUCAAGAAGUCAGAUGGCACAAAUCAG